rnacentral:rRNA from 1 species
UACGUAGGUGGCAAGCGUUAUCCGGAAUUACUGGGCGUAAAGCGCACGCAGGCGGCCUUUUAAGUUUGACGUGAAAGCUCCCGGCUUAACUGGGAGAGGUCGUUUGAAUACUGGAAGACUUGAGGCAAUGAGAGGGGUGUAGAAUUCCCGGUGUAGUGGUGGAAUGCGUAGAUAUCGGGGGGAAUACCAGUGGCGAAAGCGGCACCCUAGCGUUAGCCUGACGCUCAUGUGCGAAAGCG